AAAACUUUCAACAAUGGAUCUCUUGGUUCUCGCAUCGAUGAAGAACGCAGCGAAAUGCGAUAAGUAAUGUGAAUUGCAGAAUUCCGUGAAUCAUCAAAUUUUGAACGCAAAUUGC
rnacentral:rRNA from 1 species